rnacentral:rRNA from 1 species
GACGAACGCUGGCGGCGUGCUUAACGCAUGCAAGUUGAGCGAUGAAGCUCCUUCGGGAGUGGAUUAGCGGCGGACGGGGGAGUAACACGUGGGUAACAUGCCUCAUAGAGGGGAAUAGCCUUCCGAAAGGAAGAUUAAUACCGCAUAAGAUUGUAGUACCGCAUGGUAUAGCAAUUAAAGGAGCAAUCCGCUAUGAGAUGGACCCGCGUCGCAUUAUCUAGUUGGUGAGGUAACGGCUCACCAAGGCGACGAUGCGCAGCCGACCUGAGAGGGUGAUCGGCCACAUUGGGACUGAGAUACGGCCCAGACUCCUACGGGAGGCAGCAGUGGGGAAUAUUGCACAAUGGGGGAAACCCUGAUGCAGCAACGCCGCGUGAGUGAUGACGGUCUUCGGAUUGUAAAGCUCUGUCUUCAGGGACGAUAAUGACGGUACCUGAGGAGGAAGCCACGGCUAACUACGUGCCAGCCGCCGCAGUAACAC